rnacentral:rRNA from 1 species
GAUCUGACUCAGGAUGAACGCUGGCGGCGUGCUUAACACAUGCAAGUCGAACGAAGCACUUUAUUUGAUUUCCUUCGGGACUGAUUAUUUUGUUGACUGAGUGGCGGACGGGUGAGUAACGCGUGGGUAACCUGCCUUGUACAGGGGGAUAACAGUUGGAAACGGCUGCUAAUACCGCAUAAGCGCACGGCAUCGCAUGAUGCAGUGUGAAAAACUCCGGUGGUAUAAGAUGGACCCGCG